rnacentral:lncRNA from 12 species
UUAUUCCGAGGGCUUUUUCUUGUUUGGGUGUUUUGAACAAAUGUUCAUCAGCCUUUCUCCCUGAAUUACAGAACUGAAGAGCUCAAGAAAGAAGAGAGCUCUGGAGUAGUAAAAUUCAUUAGCAAUCUCCAAGUGGCUGAGGAUCCAUCCUCAUCAGAGCAGGAAUGAACAGAAAUGGGCACAGCUUUGUGGCUGCCCCAGCUCUGGCAUGGGCCCUGGGGCUGGAUAAGGAGCAGCUCUGCAGGGCCCCAAGGCCCGGGGCUGUUGUGCUGGCCUGGGCAGAUGGGAUGGCAGCAGGGGCGGCAGAGCUCUCAGGAGCUCAGGGAGAGGGGAGCAGGGCGCACAGGGAGCCUCCUUUUGCCUUGGCCAAGCACCUUCUCAUUUACCACCCCUCACUGACCACACCCACUGACCACACCCAAUGACCACUCAACUGACCACAUCCACCCACCACACCCACUGCUCACACCCACUGACUACCACCACUGACCAUACCAGCAACCACACCUCCUGAGCACCCAACAGACAACCCCCACCUAACUGACCACUGCCACUGACCACUGUCACUGACCGCAGCCAGUGACCACGCUUGCUGACCACACUCACAAACCCCCUCCGCUGACCUUAGCCCAAUAACCGCAGCCCACUGAGCACACCCACUGACCACACACCACUCCCCACACCCAUUGCCCACAGCCAGUGAUCACAUCCCAUUGACCACACUGCACUGACCAUGCAAACUGAUCACAAACCACUGACUACCCAAACUGACCAAACCCACUGAUCACCCCAAAUGACUACAUGCAGUGACCACUCGCCACUGACCAUCUCCAUGGGCCACUGUGGUAAUUGAAUCAACUGAAAUUAGAGACAUAAAUCUCAGACCCUGGCAAACCGGGC